rnacentral:rRNA from 1 species
GACGAACGCUGGCGGCGUGCUUAACACAUGCAAGUCGAACGGUAAGGCCCUUCGGGGUACACGAGUGGUGAACGGGUGAGUAACACGUGGGUGAUCUGCCCUGCACCUCGGGAUAAGCCUGGGAAACUGGGUCUAAUACCGGAUAGGACCACUGCCUGCAUGGGUGGUGGUGGAAAGCUUUUGCGGUGUGGGAUGGGCCCGCGGCCUAUCAGCUUGUUGGUGGGGUGAUGGCCUACCAAGGCGACGACGGGUAGCCGGCCUGAGAGGGUGACCGGCCACACUGGGACUGAGAUAUGGCCCAGACUCCUACGGGAGGCAGCAGUGGGGAAUAUUGCACAAUGGGCGCAAGCCUGAUGCAGCGACGCCGCGUGAGGGAUGACGGCCUUCGGGUUGUAAACCUCUUUCAGCACCGACGAAGCGCAAGUGACGGUAGGUGCAGAAGAAGGACCGGCCAACUACGUGCCAGCCGCCGCCGUAA